rnacentral:lncRNA from 1 species
CUAGUGUGCCCCACAGACCAGGAAAUGCUGAGCUGUUUGAGAGCCAACACCUCAUUUUCAAGAUGUCUGGGUGCUGAAGAAACUAAGAGCUGUGGAAAACAAUGGUGCACAAUUCACUUUUGAAACCUACUUUUGAGUUCUGAAAAGAGGUUAAAUUCGUCAGUGCAAUGCAGUGCUCACAACAGUCGUGUUAAGCAUUAACAACAUUGACGGCAAGGACUUUGGCGAAAACAGCAAAUAGUUGAAGAUAGCUCCCAGAGAGCCUGCUGAUUCUACUGAGGAGAGAGAAGGACUCUUGAAAAUCUUGAUGCCGUUAUAUCAUCCCUUUGCAAGAAGAGUACACUGAAUAUACAUAGAGCAGGGACUGGCUAAGAAGAGCUGUCGUGAGAAAGGGACUGCUCUGCUAGACGCUUCCUUGAGACCAUCCCUGAAGGCUCGGACCUACGCACACUACAGCAAACCCUGCGGUUGCCUCGUAGCGUUACUUUGCCCCGCGGUCUGGCCCACGAGCUACCUCUGCGUAGUGACCGAGUGCCUCAGCAGGCUCCCUGCGCAGCCCGAGCCCGCCUUCGCUGCCAGCCAAGCCAGGCUACGAGCUGC